CAACACACGUGUCAGUAGGUCCAGUUCCCUUCUCCAGAGAAUAAAUACUGCUGUUUUAAUGUCUCCAAUCUGGUCCAAAAUAAUCAUUCAAACAAAAACACAUUGGCAUUAUGUUGAGGAACCAAAAACACACUGGCAUUAUGUUGAGGAACCAAAAACACAUUGGCAUUAUGUUGAGAAACCAAAAACACAUUGGCAUUAUGUUGAGGAACCAAAAACACAUUGGCAUUAUGUUGAGGAACCAAAAACACAUUGANNNNNNNNNNAAAAAAUCCAGAAAAUCACACUGUAGGAUUUCUAAUGAAUUUAUUUGGAAAUUAUGGUGGAAAAUAUGUAUUUGGUCACCUACAAACGACACCAGCAGGGCCUGUUUCUUCUGGGUGGAGCGGGAUGACUCCAGCAGGGCCUGUUUCUUCUGGGUGGAGAAGGAUGACUCCAGCAGGGCCUGUUUCUUCUGGGUGGAGCGGGACGACCAGCAGGGCCUGUUUCUUAGUCAGCCACCAAUUGUGCAAGUUCUCCCACUUAAAAAGAUGAGAGAGGCCUGUAACUUUCAUCAUAGGUACACUUCUACUAUGACAGACAAAAAAAUCCAGAAAAUCACACUGUAGGAUUUCUAAUGAAUUUAUUUGCAAAUUAUGGUGGAAAAUAUGUAUUUGGUCACCUACAAACAAGCAUGAUUUCUGACUCUCACAGACCUGUAACUUCUUCUUUAAGAGGCUCCUCUGUCCUCCACUCGUUACCUGUAUUAAUGGCACCUGUUUGAACUUGUUAUCAGUAUAAAAGACACCUGUCCACAACCUCAAACAGUCACACUCCAAACUCCACUAUGGCCAAGACCAAAGAGCUGUCAAAGGACACCAGAAACAAAAUUGUAGACCUGCACCAGGCUGGGAAGACUGAAUCUGCAAUAGGUAAGCAGCUUGGUUUGAAGAAAUCAUCUGUGGGAGCAAUUAUUAGGAAAUGGAAGACAUACAAGACCACUGAUAAUCUCCUUCGAUCUGGGGCUCCACGCAAGAUCUCACCCCGUGGGGUCAAAAUGAUCACAAGGUGAGCAAAAAUCCCAAAAUCACACGGGGGGACCUAGUGAAUGACCUGCAGAGAGCUGGGACCAAAGUAACAAAGCCUACCAUCAGUAACACACUGCGCCGCCAGGGACUCAAAUCCUGCAGUGCCAGACAUGUCCCCCUGCUUAAGCCAGUACAUGUCCAGGCCCGUCUGAAGUUUGCUAGAGAGCAUUUGGAUGAUCCAGAAGAAGAUUGGGAGAAUACCAUAUGGUCAGAUGAAACCAAAAUAGGACAAAGAAUGCUGAGUUGCAUCCAAAGAACACCAUACCUACUGUGAAGCAUGGGGGUGGAAACAUCAUGCUUUGGGGCUGUUUUUCUGCAAAGGGACCAGGACGACUGAAGGAAAGAAUGAAUGGGGCCAUGUAUCGUGACAUUUUGAGUGAAAACCUCCUUCCAUCAGCAAGGGCAUUGAAGAUGAAACGUGGCUGGGUCUUUCAGCAUGACAAUGAUCCCAAACACACCGCCCAGGCAACAAAGGAGUGGCUUCGUAAGAAGCAUUACAAGGUCCUGGAGUGGCCUAGCCAGUCUCCAGAUCUCAACCCCAUAGAAAAUCUUUGGAGGGAGUUGAAAGUCCGUGUUGCCCAGCAACAGCCCCAAAACAUCACUGCUCUAGAGGAGAUCUGCAUGGAGGAAUGGGCCAAAAUACCAGCAACAGUGUGUGAAAACCUUGUGAAGACUUACAGAAAACGUUUGACCUCUGUCAUUGCCAACAAAGGGUAUAUAACAAAGUAUUGAGAUAAACUUUUGUUAUUGACCAAAUACUUAUUUUCCACCAUAAUUUGCAAAUAAAUUCAUAAAAAAUCCUUCAAUGUGAUUUUCUGGAUUUUUUUUUCUAAUUUUGUCUGUCAUAGUUAAAGUGUACCUAUGAUGAAAAUUACAGGCCUCUCUCAUCUUUUUAAGUGGGAGAACUUGCACAAUUGGUGGCUGACUAAAUACUUUUUUGCCCCACUGUAUAUCUGCAUAGAGAGGGGAGAAUGCAGAAAUGAGUUAAUUGCACGUAGAGAGGGGAGAGUAACGAGUAAUUUGCCUGAGGGAGAAGGGCCCUGCAGAGAGGAGAGAUAAGACAGAUGUUAUUUGUCUAGGGAGAGAGGGGAUAAGACAUGGUUAUUGCCUUAGGAGAAGAGAGGGAUGUUCUUUUCUUGCCUGAGGAGAGAGGGAUAUGCCGUACAGCCAAGGGGAGAGAUCGGUUUCAAAAUAGAGUGCAUUCAUUUACAGUCACUAAGAAUGUACAACUUCUGAUGUAUCCUAGAAAAUGUAUGAGUAAGUUAAUCAACUAUAGCUGUCAUAAACUGUUGUAGAUUGCGUGAUCGCCUACCACAGGGUUUUUGGGGUCGAUCUUCAGGACCUCUUUGAAGGGGGAGAGUGCCUCUGAGUAGUUGUUCUGACUGAGGUAGACGAAGGACCUGAAACCCACACACAAGUCAGCUGGGUUACUUCAGUGAUUCUGUGUGAAGAUGUGACAAUCGGCCAUGUGACAGGAAUUAACAGAAAUGUCAAUCAACACAGUGUGAAUGGCACUGUUGUGUCUCCUAACAAAGCAUCACAAAGUGGCAAAUACACAAGUGUGACCCCCUGUUCCAACUCACAUACUAGAAUUGUGAGAGAAGUCUGACAGAAUUACAGAUAAAUUCAUCUCAGAAGUAAUUACUUCCACUCAUUCGUACCUGUUCAUCAACACACGUGUCAGUAGGUCCAGUUCCCUUCUCC
rnacentral:lncRNA from 13 species